GAUGAACGCUAGCGGCAGGCUUAAUACAUGCAAGUCGUGGGGCAGCAUGGGGUAGCAAUACUCUGAUGGCGACCGGCAAACGGGUGCGGAACACGUACGCAACCUUCCCAAAACUGGUGAAUAGCCCUCCGAAAGGAGGAUUAAUACACCGUAACAUAACGAAGUGGCAUCACUUUGUUAUUAUAGCUCCGGCGGUUUUGGAUGGGCGUGCGCCUGAUUAGGUAGUUGGCGGGGUAACGGCCCACCAAGCCUACGAUCAGUAACUGGUGUGAGAGCACGACCAGUCACACGGGCACUGAGACACGGGCCCGACUCCUACGGGAGGCAGCAGUAAGGAAUAUUGGUCAAUGGACGCAAGUCUGAACCAGCCAUGCCGCGUGAAGGAUGACGGCCCUCUGGGUUGUAAACUUCUUUUAUCUGGGACGAAAAAGGGCUUUCUAGCUCACUUGACGGUACCAGAGGAAUAAGCACCGGCUAACUCCGUG
rnacentral:rRNA from 1 species